UGAAAUCUGGCUCUCGGGCCCGAGUUGUAAUUUGUAGAGGAUGCUUUUGAUGCGGUGCCUUCCGAGUUCCCUGGAACGGGACGCCAUAGAGGGUGAGAGCCCCGUCUGGUUGGAUGCCAAAUCUCUGUAAAGCUCCUUCAACGAGUCGAGUAGUUUGGGAAUGCUGCUCUAAAUGGGAGGUAUAUGUCUUCUAAAGCUAAAUACCGGCCAGAGACCGAUAGCGCACAAGUAGAGUGAUCGAAAGAUGAAAAGCACUUUGAAAAGAGAGUUAAAAAGUACGUGAAAUUGUUGAAAGGGAAGCGUUUGUGACCAGACUUGGGCUUGGUUAAUCAUCUGGGGUUCUCCCCAGUGCACUUCUCCAGCUCAGGCCAGCAUCAGUUUUCCCCGGGGGACAAAGGCGGUGGGAAUGUGGCUCCCUUCGGGGAGUGUU
rnacentral:rRNA from 1 species